rnacentral:rRNA from 1 species
UACGUAGGGGGCAAGCGUUGUCCGGAAUUAUUGGGCGUAAAGAGCGUGUAGGCGGUCCGGUAAGUCAGCUGUGAAAGUCAAGGGCUCAACCCUUGAAUGCCGGUUGAUACUGUCGGGCUAGAGUCCGGAAGAGGCGAGUGGAAUUCCCGGUGUAGCGGUGAAAUGCGCAGAUAUCAGGAGGAACACCGGUGGCGAAGGCGGAUCUCUGGGCCUUGCCUGACGCUGAGGCGCGAAAGCUAGGGGAGCGAACAGG